rnacentral:rRNA from 1 species
UACGAAGGGGGCUAGCGUUGCUCGGAAUCACUGGGCGUAAAGGGUGCGUAGGCGGGUCUUUAAGUCAGGGGUGAAAUCCUGGAGCUCAACUCCAGAACUGCCUUUGAUACUGAAGAUCUUGAGUUCGGGAGAGGUGAGUGGAACUGCGAGUGUAGAGGUGAAAUUCGUAGAUAUUCGCAAGAACACCAGUGGCGAAGGCGGCUCACUGGCCCGAUACUGACGCUGAGGCACGAAAGCGUGGGGGAGCAAAGCAGG